rnacentral:rRNA from 1 species
CUGGGACGCGCCCCAGGCGCACCCAGAAACCCUUUGUGAACUUAUACCUUUUGUUGCCUCGGCGCAUGCUGGCCUCUAGUAGGCCCCUCACCCCGGUGAGGAGAAGGCACGCCGGCGGCCAAGUUAACUCUUGUUUUUACACUGAAACUCUGAGAAAAAACACAAAUGAAUCAAAACUUUCAACAACGGAUCUCUUGGUUCUGGCAUCGAUGAAGAACGCAGCGAAAUGCGAUAAGUAAUGUGAAUUGCAGAAUUCAGUGAAUCAUCGAAUCUUUGAACGCACAUUGCGCCCUCUGGUAUUCCGGAGGGCAUGCCUGUUCGAGCGUCAUUUCAACCCUCAAGCAUUGCUUGGUGUUGGGGCACUGCUUCUAACGAAGCAGGCCCUGAAAUCUAGUGGCGAGCUCGCCAGGACCCCGAGCGUAGUAGUUAAACCCUCGCUCUGGAAGGCCCUGGCGGUGCCCUGCCGUUAAACCCCCAACUUUUGAAAAUUUGACCUCGGAUCAGGUAGGAAUACCCGCUGAACUUAAGCAUAUCAAUAAGCGGAGGAA